AUGAUUGUGAAGAUUUACAAAUGAAUGUGUGGAGGGGCCAGACCUUACCUCACAGCGCUGUGGAGAGAGGUCUGGCAAUGUGAGACUACACUGCGCCAAUGUCAGAAAUAUGAACUCAUGAGCUACAUUUCAAGACAGCAAUUGUUCCCAAUCCCUUGUUUAUUAGUGUCUAUCCAUUGGCAUGUUGCACACAGAAGCACCAACACAGAAAACAUGCCAAACAGAUUUGACCCUGGAAGAUAAGAAAUUCCUCCA